rnacentral:rRNA from 1 species
GACGUAGGUGGCGAACGUUAUCCGGAAUCAUUGGGCGUAAAGGGUGCGUAGAUGGCAUGAUAAGUUAUUAGUGGGAAAUCGAGGCUCAACCUCGUGGAAGCUAGUAAUACUGUUUUGCUUGAGUACAGAAGAGGUUAACGGAACUCCAUGUGGAGCGGUAAAAUGCGUAGAUAUAUGGAAGAACACCAAUAACGGCGAAGGCAGUUAACUAUUCUGUUACUGACAUUGCGGCACGAAAGCGUGGGGAGCAAAACGG